AAAACAAAAUUUAAAAUUCUAUUGCUAGAUUUUCACCUAUUAAAAACUCUCUAUUAAAAAAGAUCACACCUUUUUUCUUUUUCUUUGUGGGGGGGUGGUUACUGGGGAUUGAACUCAACCACUGAGACAUAUCCCCAGCCCUAUUUUGUAUUUUAUUUAGAGACAGGGUCUCACUGAGUUGCUUAGCGCUUCGCCUUUGCUGAGGCUGGCUUUGAACUCACGAUCCUCCUGCCUCAGCCUCUGGAGCCGCUGGGAUUACUGGCCAUACACUACUGCCCCCGGCAGAUCACACCUUUUUUCUACUCAUAACAUUACAACUGUUCUUCAGUUUCAAUCCGUGAGCUUGAAGUAUUAUAUUGGUGUUUUCUAAACUGUCACUUCAAUGUAUUUUAAGUUUUAGAGUUUGUGUACCAAAGAAGAGUCCUUCAAUUGUUAGUGUAGUUUAGCCAAUUUAAAGCCAAUUUGGCUGAACAGUAUUUAUAAUAUUUUAGACUGCUUCUCCUUAGAAUAUUGAUAUAUAACCUCUAACCACUAGUUUAAGUCAGUCCAACAAAAGUAUUAUUGCUUUUUCCCUUAUGAGCCAGUCACAGUACUAGUUUCUGUGUCAGCUCAAACAUAGUAGUGCCUCUCAGGAGCUUGUUGUUUAAUAUGCUGUGAGGGAAGAGACUUGUCAACUUACAAUUUACAUUUUUAUAAUGCAUAGUAUGUCAAUUUGUAAUUUCAGUGUGAUGUGAAAGAACUGUUGUACAGAUUUAUGCAGAGUGUUACCUAUCACUUUCUAGAUUCUCAUCUGCCAAAUUUCUACCAGGAACAGAUGAGCACUUUGAUAUGAGACAAAAAGUUAUGAGGAAAGUUUAUACAUACAAAUAAUAGCAGGGUACAAGAAGGAUUGUAAGUGCUGAAGUCGUAUGUAUGAAUGGGGAAGUGUGCAUGUUAAUCCUCAAGAAUUAUGGGUUAAUAAGCAACAUAUAUUAAAACACUGAUUAAAAUCGUCUGAUUAAUCCAACCAUAAAUGCUCUAGAUGCAUUAAAUUGAACUUUCAAAGAAUUAUUAUCUACUUGAAUCUUUUUAAUUUCU
rnacentral:lncRNA from 1 species